UACAGGGGGUGCAAACGUUGCUCGGAAUCAUUGGGCGUAAAGCGCACGUAGGCGGUUCGUUAUGUCGGAUGUGAAAGCCCUUGGCUUAACCGAGGAAGUGCAUCCGAAACUGGCGAGCUUGAGUACUGAAGAGGAUCGCGGAAUUCCCGGUGUAGAGGUGAAAUUCGUAGAUAUCGGGAGGAACACCAGUGGCGAAGGCGGCGAUCUGGGCAGAUACUGACGCUGAGGUGCGAAAGCGUGGGGAGCAAACAGG
rnacentral:rRNA from 1 species